GUAGUAGGGCAGUCUAGGUACCGCCCUAUUAAACGUGGUUUUCCACUGAAUGACAGGUGUGACAGCUUAUUGGCUGCUGCUCCGGGUGUAUUUAAGGCGCAGUUUGUCACCUGGGUACGCAUCGUAUAAUCAUUGUGUGUGCGCGCAGCUCGCGGGAGCCAGGUUAUGGUCACGAUUGGUACGACGUUGCUGUUGGGUACCGGCUGUCCUUCACUCAAGUGUGUGCGUGCACUAGAACGCCUGUGUAUUUGAAGUUCGCAGAGUACGGAUAAAGCUGAGUUGAAGGCCCCCAGUGAGGGAAGCUAGCUGUCUUGGCCCUGUGGUGGUGGUGUUUCUUUCACCGUGUUUUUGCCAUUGAUAUUUGUGUCUCCCUCACUUAGUGUGUGGUGUGGCGUGAGUGUUUGUGUGGGGCGUAUUUGGGUGAGUGGUGUGUCUUCGGGUACUCUCUGUUCAGCUAGCUGCCCUACUGGUAAACCUCAGCCGGAAAGUUUUUUGUUUCUUUUCUUUUUGUUUGGUUAAUCUACAUUUUAAUUAAUUAUUGUGAAAUAAAGGCAUUGUUGUAUUUAUA